rnacentral:rRNA from 1 species
CGUGCUAACACAUGCAAGUCGAACGGGAUCCAUUGGUGCUUUUGUUUGGUGGUGACAGUGGCGGACGGGUGAGUAACGCGUAGAAAUCUGCCCCUUACUCUUGGGAUAACGGUCUGGAAACGGGUGCUAAUACCGGAUAUUCAUGCUUCCUCGCAUGGGGGGGUUGGGAAAGGUUUUUCUGGUGGGGGAUGGGCUCGCGGCUUAUCAGCUUGUUGGUGGGGUGAUGGCUUACCAAGGCUUUGACGGGUAGCCGGCCUGAGAGGGUGAUCGGCCACACUGGGACUGAGACACGGCCCAGACUCCUACGGGAGGCAGCAGUGGGGAAUAUUGCACAAUGGGGGCAACGCUGAUGCAGCGACGUCGCGUGAGGGAUGAAGGCCUUCGGGUCGUAAACCUCUUUCAGAUGGGACGCAAGCCUCAGGUUUUGUUGGGGUUGAGUUUAGUGGCAGAGGAAGCCCCGGCUAACUACGUGCCAGCAGCCGCUGU